CAAAGGUUUGGUCCUGGCCUUCCUAUUAGCUACUAAUAAGAUUACACAUGCAAGUCUCCGCGCCCCAGUGAAAAUGCCCUUUGAAUCUCUUAAAUGAUUCGAAGGAGCGGGCAUCAAGUACACCCCUGGAGAGGUAGCUCAUAACGCCUUGCUCAGCCACACCCCCACGGGAUACAGCAGUGAUAAAAAUUAAGCUAUGAACGAAAGUUCGACUAAGCUAUGUUAACUAAAGGGCUGGUAAAUUUCGUGCCAGCCACCGCGGCCAUACGAUUAGCCCGAGUUAAUAGGUCCACGGCGUAAGGCGUGUGAAAGGAAAAAUCCUCACCACUAAAGUUAAAGCCUACUCAUGCUGUAAAAAGCUACCAGUAACACUAAAAUAAACUACGAAAGUGACUUUAAUGUCUCCAGCCACACGAUAGCUAAGACCCAAACUGGGAUUAGAUACCCCACUAUGCUUAGCCUUAAAUACAGAUAAUUCACCAAACAGAAUUAUUCGCCAGAGAACUACUAGCAACCGCUUAAAACUCAAAGGACUUGGCGGUGCUUUAGACCCCCCUAGAGGAGCCUGUUCUAUAAUCGAUAAACCCCGAUAAACCUCACCACCCCUUGCUAAUUCAGUCUAUAUACCGCCAUCUUCAGCAAACCCUUAAAAGGAAAAAAAGUAAGCAUAAUCACUUCACAUAAAAAAGUUAGGUCAAGGUGUAACCUAUGGGAUGGGAAGAAAUGGGCUACAUUUUCUAUUCAAGGACAGCUUACGAAAAUUUUUAUGAAACUAAAAACUAAAGGCGGAUUUAGUAGUAAACUAAGAAUAGAGAGCUUAGUUGAAUAGGGCAAUGAAGCACGCACACACCGCCCGUCACCCUCCUCAAGUGACGCUAAAUCAAACAUAACCUAUUGGAACUAGACAAAUCAUAAGAGGAGGCAAGUCGUAACAAGGUAAGCGUACUGGAAAGUGUGCUUGGAUAAAC
rnacentral:ncRNA from 1 species